AUACGGAGGGUGCAAGCGUUAAUCGGAAUUACUGGGCGUAAAGCGCGCGUAGGCGGAUAUUUAAGUCUCAUGUGAAAGCCCUGGGCUCAACCUGGGAACUGCAUGGGAUACUGGGUAUCUAGAAUACAGUAGAGGGUAGUGGAAUUUCAGGUGUAGCGGUGAAAUGCGUAGAGAUCUGAAGGAACAUCAGUGGCGAAGGCGACUACCUGGACUGAUAUUGACGCUGAGGUACGAAAGCGUGGGUAGCAAACGGGAUUAGAAACCCUAGUAGUCC
rnacentral:rRNA from 1 species